rnacentral:lncRNA from 1 species
CUGCUCUUGACUCCCUGCAGAUGGCCUUGGGAGGCAUCCUGCUCAUCUCUCCAACCUGGAGGNNGUACCUGGGCAUCCAUUCUAGUAGCCAUGGAUACACCUGUCCCCCAAGAAUCUGUCCAACCCUUUCUUAAAGCCAUCCAGGCUGGUUGCUGUCACCACCUCAUCCGGUAUAAGAACAGCAACCUCGCGUGGUGGUUGUGAAGGUGAAACUUUGGAAAGGUGAAUAAACUUCGCUGCCNCGUCGGCUACUUGGAAGAAAAGCAGACUCUCCUCCUCCUCCCCCCUCCCCGCCCUUAAGGGCACAGCGGCCGCGCGCCUGCCCCUUACCCCGAAGUCUUCGCUCCUGCAUUUUCGGGGGUCGGUCUCCCCUCCCGACGGUUGUUCUCUACUCAGGUCUGUUGUUCUGUUUUGUGGUCAUCUCGGCCAUUUCGAGCCGGGAGCCUUUUUCCGAGCAGCGGAAAGAAGCGCAAAUCCGAGGGCGCGCCGCGCGCCCCUAGGAUCGCUGCCCCCCCCCCCGGACCUGAGCCAAGAUCGGUCUCAAUUUCAUCCGGCCGGCACUUUCGCUUUCGUUUCCCGGGCCGAGCAGCCUCGCCCGCGCGCUCCCGAGCCGCCCCCCNCCGCCUUUUGCAUCUCCGGGCCGGGGUCCGGGCGGGGACUCGGGGAGGGGUACGUCCAAACAGCGCUGGAGCCUGACACGGAAGCGGCGCCGCGUCCGACCCGCCUCCCCGAGCCCAGCUUGGCAGUGCGCGCAGCGGCCAAGCCCCUCGCCCCGCGCCGCCCCGUCGGCCCACCCUUCCCUCACCUGACCUCCGAGCCAGCACAGCCAGCCAGGCAGGCUGCGGGGCAGCUGCGCGUCCUGGUCGAGAGCAGGGGCUGCCCGGUGCAGGCGCCGCCGCAUCCGCAGAAAAGGACAUAGAAGAGUUUCACUGCUGGGUAGCCAAGGCAAAGGUAACAUCAACUUGGCCAGAUAGAAAUAACAGCACUAUGCAUCUCACAGGAAUGUGGAGAGAGUUCGAAGAUGCUAUGGAUGCCAUGCUCUGCACGUCCAGGUAUGUUAAAUGAUCUUCUGACAAUACCUGGCUGUUCAUGUGCCAACUGGUCUUUGCUUGGGCUAAGCAGCUUUCCUUCUUGGCAAUCAGUUUGCCACGUGGCCCUCUUGCGAGGGGGCACAGCGAC